rnacentral:misc_RNA from 1 species
GAUGAAGAACGUAGCGAAAUGCGAUAAGUAAUGCGAAUUGCAGAAUCCGUGAGUCAUCGAAUCUUUGAACGCACAUUGCGCCCUCUGGUAUUCCGGAGGGCAUGCCUGUUCGAGCGUCAUUAUCACCCCUCAAGCCCGGCUUGUUGUUGGAUGCAGCGCUUAUCCCGCUCCUCCCAAAGAUAAUGACGGCGUCUGCGACGACUCCUGUACACUGAGCUUUCGGGCACGUACACGGCUAGAAGUCCAGACCCGGUCGCCGUCCCCCCCGCGGGGGACACCCAUUACCACAAGGUUGACCUCGGAUCAGGUAGGAAUACCCGCUGAACUUAAGCAUAUCAUAAGCGGAGGA